GCCAGGCAUGGUGGUGCAUGCCUGUAAUCCCAGCUACGUGGGAGGCUGAGGCAGGAGUAUUGCUUGAGCCCAGGAGUUUGAGGUUCCUCUGAGCUAUGAUGACACUACAGUUCUAUAGCCUGGGUGACAGAGCAAGACUCUGUCUCCA
rnacentral:SRP_RNA from 1 species